rnacentral:rRNA from 1 species
GCCUAAAGCGUCCGUAGCCUGCUUUGUAAGUUUCCGGUUAAAUCCAUUAGCUUAACUGAUGGGCCGCCGAAAAAACUGCAAAGCUAGGGAGUGGGAGAGGUAGACGGUACUCAGUAGGAAGGGGUAAAAUCCUUUGAUCUAUUGAUGACCACCAGUGGCGAAGGCGGUCUACCAGAACACGUUCGACGGUGAGGGAUGAAAGCUGGGGGAGCAAACCGGAUUAGAUACCCGGGUAGUCCCAGCUGUAAACGAUGCAGACUCGGUGAUGCCCUGGCUUGUGGCCAGUGCAGUGCCGCAGGGAAGCCGUUAAGUUUGCCGCCUGGGAAGUACGUACGCAAGUAUGAAACUUAAAGGAAUUGGCGGGGGAGCACCACAAGGGGUGAAGCCUGCGGUUCAAUUGGAGUCAACGCCAGAAAUCUUACCCGGAGAGACAGCAGAAUGAAGGUCAAGCUGAAGACUUUACCAGACAAGCUGAGAGGUGGUGCAUGGCCGUCGCCAGCUCGUGCCGUGAGAUGUCCUGUUAAGUCAGGUAACGAGCGAGACCCUUGCCUCUAGUUGCUACCAUUGCUCUCUGGAGCAGUGGGGCGAAUUAGCGGGACCGCCGCAGUUAAUGCGGAGGAAGGAAAGGGCUACGGCAGGUCAGUAUGCCCCGAA